rnacentral:tRNA from 1 species
UUUUAUUAGUAUAAUUAGUAUAUUUGUUUUCCAAACAAGAGGUUUAAAGUGUUUAAAUAAAAUA